CGGCCCAUAUUUGGAUGGACUUAUUUGUGUGCACAGAGCUGUAGCUUAUCUGCAUGCAAGGGAAUAAACGGGAAUAAAGCGAAAGCUUUUGACGAGAGAGCGAGCUUUGGGUUAUCUUGGUGGGUUAUCUAGCCCUUGUGCUUUAGAAUGGGAUGAAGAAUCAAAAUCAAAGCUCAAGCGCUGGAUCAUUCGAUCCAUGGAACUAAAUUGUGGAAGGUCAGUUUGGUGGUACGGCGAGAUAAAAGAAAAGAAAAGAAUAAAAGGUUAUACACGUGUGUGAAAAAAAAAGAAAAAUUGAAAUCAAUAAAUCGUCGAAAGUAGGGUGCACAUGCCAAGCUGCCCCAAAAAAUUAAGAUCAGUGUGCCGAAAAGCCGAAAAAUCUGUGGUUCUCCAAAGAUAAACCCGGUUUCAAGCCCCAAACGGGGUCUGAGCUUUGCCAGUCGAUCUCGGUUUCUCCAGUGUAAUUUAAUAUUGACGAAAGUUAUCCAACGGAGGUCAAACUUCUGCCGCACAACGAAAAUUUGCGAUCAACCUUAUUUUUGACCUUGGCAGAGGACAUACAGUUGCCUCUGAAAUUCUAUGUCGUGGCCUGGAUAGGCACAGACAUAUCCAUAUCGGAUGUCUUCAAGGAAAAGGAUUGACACACACACACACACACUGAAUUCAACCGUAGCUACUAUUGCUAUUAUUAUUAUUUUUUUUUGCAUUUAAAUUUUGUACAUUAUAAUCUAAUCUAGGACACAUCAAUGCAUGCAGGCCUGUUGCAGCGAUGGAAAACCAAACGUUAGCACCAGAAUCUCUUGUAUGUGUUUAGCUGGAACAACUGAAAGAUCCCCCCCAUCCGACGAGCCCUAGCCGAAAGAUCCCACACAGUGCUAACCAUAACAUCUAUGCAAGUUGUCUAGUUUGUGGAAUGCGUCUCGAAAGCUACCACACCAGAACACCGGGACACAUUACAAAAGUGGCGCCCAACGUGGGGCACGAUACAACAACAACAG